rnacentral:tRNA from 1 species
GGGGAUUUAGCUCAGUGGCAUAAGUGCCUGCAUUGUAAGCAGGUGGUCGUGCGUUCAAUCCCCA